rnacentral:lncRNA from 1 species
ACAGCCGAGGAAAAGGAUGAUGAGGAGGAGGAGCAUGCUGAGGGGGAGGGUCCACCUUCACCACCUAUGCCCAAACAGAGUCCAGUUGAUCACCCUAUAUCAGAGCCUAAGGCAGGAUCCUCAGUCAGUGUACCCCCAUCGUCGAGCCGUAUUGUGCCAUCUUUUAGUUUGGGGGAGGAUGACAUGGGACUGUUGGCUGAGACAGUGGUAGACAUUCUAUCUGUUCAGCAGUAGUGGUUCCA